ACCAGGCCUUGACAUGCAGAGAACUUUCCAGAGAUGGAUUGGUGCCUUCGGGAACUCUGACACAGGUGCUGCAUGGCUGUCGUCAACUCGUGUCGUGAGAUGUUGGGUUAAGUCCCGUAACGAGCGCAACCCUUGUCCUUAGUUACCAGCACGUUAUGGUGGGCACUCUAAGGAGACUGCCGGUGCAAACCGGAGGAAGUGGGGAUGACGUCAAGUCAUCAUGGCCCUUACGGCCUGGGCUACACACGUGCUACAAUGGUCGGUACAAAGGGUUGCCAAGCCGCGAGGUGGAGCUAAUCCCAUAAAACCGAUCGUAGUCCGGAUCGCAGUCUGCAACUCGACUGCGUGAAGUCGGAAUCGCUAGUAAUCGUGAAUCAGAAUGUCACGGUGAAUACGUUCCCGGGCCUU
rnacentral:rRNA from 1 species